rnacentral:rRNA from 1 species
AACGGGUGAGUAACACGUGGGCAAUCUGCCCUUCACUCUGGGACAAGCCCUGGAAACGGGGUCUAAUACCGGAUAACACUCCUGCCUGCAUGGGCGGGAGUUAAAAGCUCCGGCGGUGAAGGAUGAGCCCGCGGCCUAUCAGCUUGUUGGUGGGGUAAUGGCCCACCAAGGCGACGACGGGUAGCCGGCCUGAGAGGGCGACCGGCCACACUGGGACUGAGACACGGCCCAGACUCCUACGGGAGGCAGCAGUGGGGAAUAUUGCACAAUGGGCGAAAGCCUGAUGCAGCGACGCCGCGUGAGGGAUGACGGCCUUCGGGUUGUAAACCUCUUUCAGCAGGGAAGAAGCGAAAGUGACGGUACCUGCAGAAGAAGCGCCGGCUAACUACGUGCCAGCAGCCGCGGUAAUACGUAGGGCGCAAGCGUUGUCCGGAAUUAUUGGGCGUAAAGAGCUCGUAGGCGGCUUGUCACGUCGGGUGUGAAAGCCCGGGGCUUAACCCCGGGUCUGCAUCCGAUACGGGCAGGCUAGAGUGUGGUAGGGGAGAUCGGAAUUCCUGGUGUAGCGGUGAAAUGCGCAGAUAUCAGGAGGAACACCGGUGGCGAAGGCGGAUCUCUGGGCCAUUACUGACGCUGAGGAGCGAAAGCGUGGGGAGCGAACAGGAUUAGAUACCCUGGUAGUCCACGCCGUAAACGUUGGGAACUAGGUGUUGGCGACAUUCCACGUCGUCGGUGCCGCAGCUUACGCAUUAAGUUCCCCGCCUGGGGAGUACGGCCGCAAGGCUAAAACUCAAAGGAAUUGACGGGGGCCCGCCCAAGCAGCGGGAGCAUGUGGCUUAAUUCGA